CCUACGGGAGGCAGCAGUGAGGAAUAUUGGUCAAUGGACGAGAGUCUGAACCAGCCAAGUAGCGUGAAGGAUGACUGCCCUAUGGGUUGUAAACUUCUUUUAUAUGGGAAUAAAAUGUUCCACGUGUGGGAUUUUGUAUGUACCAUAUGAAUAAGGAUCGGCUAACUCUGUGCCAGCAGCCGCGGUAAUACGGAGGAUCCGAGCGUUAUCCGGAUUUAUUGGGUUUAAAGGGAGCGUAGGUGGAUUGUUAAGUCAGUUGUGAAAGUUUGCGGCUCAACCGUAAAAUUGCAGUUGAAACUGGCAGUCUUGAGUACAGUAGAGGUGGGCGGAAUGCGUGGUGUAGCGGUGAAAUGCUUAGAUAUCACGAAGAACUCCGAUUGCGAAGGCAGUUCACUGGACUGCAACUGACACUGAGGCUCGAAAGUGUGGGUAUCAAACAGGAUUAGAUACCCUUGUAGUC
rnacentral:rRNA from 1 species